ACUAUUUUGAUCCUGGCUCAGGAUGAACGCUGGCGGCGUGCCUAAUACAUGCAAGUCGAACGAGGUGCUUUUGUAGCAAUACGAGAGUAUCCUAGUGGCGAACGGGUGAGUAACGCGUUGGUGACCUACCCCAAAGUGUGGGAUAACAAUCCGAAAGGAUUGCUAAUACCGCAUGUGGUUAUUGGAUUUAGAAACCGGUGACUAAAGGAGCAAUUCGCUUUGGGAGGGACCUGCGUCCCAUCAGCUAGUUGGUGAGUAUGUGGCUCACCAAGGCGACGACGGGUAGGGGACCUGAGAGGGUGGCCCCCCACAAUGGAACUGAAACACGGUCCAUACACCUACGGGUGGCAGCAGUAGGGAAUAUUGCACGAUGGGCGAAAGCCUGAUGCAGCAACGCCGCGUGUGUGAUGAAGGCCUUCGGGUCGUAAAGCACUUUUCUGGGAGAUGAGAAAGGACAGUAUCCCAGGAAUAAGUCUCGGCUAACUACGUGCCAGCAGCCGCGGUAAAACAUGGGGAGGCAAGCGUUAUCCGGAUUCACUGGGCGUAAAGCGCGUGCAGGUGGCGCGGUAAGUUGGGUGUGAAAUCUCCCGGCUCAACUGGGAGAGGUCAUUCAAUACUACCGUGCUUCCGAGCAUAUACCGAGGAAGAUGGAAUUCCCGGUGUAGUGGUGAAAUGCGUAGAUAUCGGGAGGAACACCAGUGGCGAAGGCGAUCUUCUGGUCUGUUUCUGACACUCAGACGCGACAGCUAGGGUAGUAAACGGGAUUGGAGACCCCUAUAAUCCUAGCCGUAAACGAUGUGAAUUUGGCGUUGGUGGGUUAAACUCCCCAGUGCCGUAGCAAACGCGAUAAGUUCACCCGCCUGGGGACUACGGCCGCAAGGUUAAAACUCAAAGGAAUUGACGGGGGCCCGCACAAGCAGCGGAGCGUGUGGUUUAAUUCGAUGCUACACCAUAUUAACCUUACCCAGGCUUGACAUACAGGUGGUAGGGAUCCGAAAGGUGACCGACCCGCAAGGGAGCCUGUACAGAUGUUGCAUGGCUGUCGUCAGCUCGUGUCGUGAGAUGUUCGGUUAAGUCCGCUAACGAGCGCAACCCUCGCUGCGUGUUACAAGUGUCACGCAGUAUCCGCCGGUAUAUCCGCCGGAGGAAGGUGGUUGAUGACGUCAAGUCAGCAUGGCCUUUAUGCCUGGGGCUACACACACGCUACAAUGCCACAGUUACCAAUGGGUUGCUAAGCCGCGAGGUGGAGCCAAUCCCCCAAAACUGUCCUCAGUUAGAUUGCAGGCUGCAUCUCGUUGAGGAGGACCUAUAGU
rnacentral:rRNA from 1 species